rnacentral:rRNA from 1 species
CCUACGGGCGGCAGCAGUGGGGAAUAUUGGACAAUGGGGGGAACCCUGAUCCAGCCAUGCCGCGUGUGUGAAGAAGGCCCUCGGGUUGUAAAGCACUUUCAGUGAGGAAGAACGCCUGGUGGUUAAUACCCAUCAGGAAAGACAUCACUCACAGAAGAAGCACCGGCUAACUCCGUGCCAGCAGCCGCGGUAAUACGGAGGGUGCGAGCGUUAAUCGGAAUUACUGGGCGUAAAGCGCGCGUAGGUGGCUUGAUAAGCCGGUUGUGAAAGCCCCGGGCUCAACCUGGGAACGGCAUCCGGAACUGUCAAGCUCGAGUGCAGGAGAGGAAGGUAGAAUUCCCGGUGCAGCGGUGAAAUGCGUAGAGAUCGGGAGGAAUACCAGUGGCGAAGGCGGCCUUCUGGACUGACACUGACACUGAGGUGCGAAAGCGUGGGUAGCAAACAGGAUUAGAUACCCGAGUAGUC